AUUAUCCUACACUUUCUGAGUGAUAGCCUCACAUCCAAGAAGUAGUCAUGGAAUGUCUUUAAUGAGUCUCUCAGUGUGAGGAAGAGCAAAAUGGGGAGAGAAGCAGUCCUAGCUAUGUGCCAAAACCGUAAGCAUCAGUAGAUGGAUUAAACUUGCUCUCCGUGAAUCCAUGCUUGCAUUUUUUUCUAAAGUCUGUAAGACUAGAAACAAGCAUCAAAAAACCAACAGGUAUCCUGCAUAGCAGGGGGCCUGUAACCACGGCAGAGUCACCUUGGGACUUCAAGUAUGUCAGCAGAUGUGAUUGGGAUUGGAUAGAAACAAAUAUUACCACAUCUAAAACUGAAACUGUGAACCCGUUCACUGGGAGAAACCUCUGUAC